rnacentral:rRNA from 1 species
UACGGAGGGUGCAAGCGUUAUCCGGAUUCACUGGGUUUAAAGGGUGCGUAGGCGGGCAGGUAAGUCAGUGGUGAAAUCUCCGAGCUUAACUCGGAAACUGCCGUUGAUACUAUUUGUCUUGAAUAUUGUGGAGGUAAGCGGAAUAUGUCAUGUAGCGGUGAAAUGCUUAGAUAUGACAUAGCACACCAAUUGCGAAGGCAGCUUACUACACAACGAUUGACGCUGAGGCACGAAAGCGUGGGGAUCAAACAGG